rnacentral:rRNA from 1 species
GAUGAACGCUGGCGGCGUGCCUAAUACAUGCAAGUCGAGCGAACGGACGAGAAGCUUGCUUCUCUGAUGUUAGCGGCGGACGGGUGAGUAACACGUGGAUAACCUACCAAUAAGACUGGGAUAACUUCGGGAAACCGGAGCUAAUGCCGGAUAAUAUUUUGAACCGCAUGGUUCAAAAGUGAAAGACGGUCUUGCUGUCACUUAUAGAUGGAUCCGCGCUGCAUUAGCUAGUUGGUAAGGUAACGGCUUACCAAGGCAACGAUGCAUAGCCGACCUGAGAGGGUGAUCGGCCACACUGGAACUGAGACACGGUCCAGACUCCUACGGGAGGCAGCAGUAGGGAAUCUUCCGCAAUGGGCGAAAGCCUGACGGAGCAACGCCGCGUGAGUGAUGAAGGUCUUCGGAUCGUAAAACUCUGUUAUUAGGGAAGAACAUAUGUGUAAGUAACUGUGCACAUCUUGACGGUACCUAAUCAGAAAGCCACGGCUAACUACGUG